ensembl:lncRNA
GUGCUUGCUGCCCACCUUCCAUGGUGGAGCAAUUCUGGAAGCCAGGAAUCAUACUUGGGAUGGAAAACUGCUCCGAAGAAGGGCUUCUGCGUCAAGUAAAGAUAUCUUACAGUGAUCACGCAAUGGGACUUCGUCUCUGUGUACUUGAGCAUAUGGGAAAAAAGUGCAUGAAGAGAGAAGAGAAAUGAAGAGCUAUAUGAAGACUGCUGGUUCCAGCAGCAAUCUUGCCUGUGAGAAGAGAGAGAAAUGGGCUCCAAAUGUUCAUGUAAGAAGCAUGCCCGGUGAAGGCAUCCAAUUGGUAACAGCACAAAUGAAUAACAUUGAAAAUCACAGACUGCCUUCCAGCAGAACCUCCGGAGCUUGGAAGAUCAUCAAGGCCAUUGGGGAUGGAAUGACCUGAGCAGAAGCCACAAAAGAAGAGCUUUCUGGUAAUGUUCCAGGAACAGAAACAAGAGUUUCAGAAGUU